UAGUCCACGCCGUAAACGAUGUCAACUAGCCGUCGGGCUCAUUUAAGGGUUUGGUGGCGCAGCUAACGCGCUAAGUUGACCGCCUGGGGAGUACGCCGGCAACGGUAAAACUCAAAGGAAUUGACGGGGGCCCGCACAAGCGGUGGAGCAUGUGGUUUAAUUCGAUGCAACGCGAAGAACCUUACCUACCCUUGACAUCCUCAGAACUUGUUAGAGAUAACUUGGUGCCUUCGGGAAUUGAGUGACAGGUGCUGCAUGGCUGUCGUCAGCACGUGUCGUGAGAUGUUGGGUUAAGUCCCGCAACGAGCGCAACCCACGUAUUUAGUUGCCAUCAUUCAGUUGGGCACUCUAGAUAGACUGCCGGGGACAACUCGGAGGAAGGUGUGGAUGACGUCAAGUCAGCAUGCCCCUUACAUCCUGGGCUACACACGUACUACAAUGCUAUGGACAAAGAGCUGCAAGCCAGCGAUGGCAAGCUAAAUCUCAUAAACCAUAGGCU
rnacentral:rRNA from 1 species